rnacentral:rRNA from 1 species
AAUAUUGCGCAAUGGAGGGAACUCUGACGCAGCGACGCCGCGUGAGCGAUGAAGGUCUUCGGAUCGUACAGCCCUGUCCUUGGGGCAGAAGGUCUUCGGACUUGACGGUAACCGGAGCAGAAGCCCCGGCUAACUUCGUGCCAGCAGCCGCGGUAAUACGAAGGGGGCUAGCGUUGUUCGGAAUUACUGGGCGUAAAGCGCACGUAGGAGGAUUAUUAAGUCAGGGGUGAAAUCCCGCAGCUCAACUGCGGAACUGCCUUUGAUACUGGUAAUCUAGAGACCGAGAGAGGUAAGUGGAACUCCUAGUGUAGAGGUGGAAUUCGUAGAUAUUAGGAAGAACACCAGUGGCGAAGGCGGCUUACUGGCUCGGAACUGACGCUGAGGUGCGAAAGCGUGGGGAGCAAAC